GCCAAACUUUGACCUAAAAAACCUACCAAGCAUUAACAAAACAAAACAAACCAUUUGAUCAAAUAAGUAGAGGAGAUCGAAC
rnacentral:rRNA from 1 species